rnacentral:lncRNA from 12 species
CCCCCCCCCCCCCCCCCCCCCCCCCCCCCCCCCCCCCCCCCCCCCCCCCCCCCCCCCCCCCCCCCCCCGGUGUGCGGUUCUGACCCACCCCCGGUGUGCGGUUCUGACCUGCCCGGUGUGCGGUUCCGAUCCCUCCCCGGUGUUCCGGGCCGGUUCCGAUCCCUCCCCGGUGUCCGGGCUGGUUCCGAUCCCUCCCCGGUGUUCCGGGCCGGUUCUGACCCCCCGGUGCGGUGCUCCCCCCGGUGUCCGGGCCGGUUCUGACCCCCCGGUGUCCGGGCCGCUCCCCGCGGUCUCUAUGCAAGCGGGCGGCGGUGCGGGGCCGUCCCGCCGGAGAGUUGCACAUGGACCUGGGACUGUGACCCGAUGGGUGCUGCCAGGCUCGGGGCGCCGGGCCCCCCCGCCGGUGGCCUGGAAUAAUGCUCUAUUUUGUUUACCUGCUGUAUGGGAUGGGAGUUUGCAGGAGAGUGGUAGCGUGGUGGUUUUUCUCCUGGUUCUGUCUGUCUGUUUGGUUUUUUUAAAUCAGCUGUGAAAAUGUUACAAAUCUGCACAAUUUUUUAGGUGUGCGUGUGCGUGUGGUUUCGUUGUGGUUUUGGUUUUUCCUUUGGCGGGGGGUGGGGGGCGGUGGUGCUGUUCGUGCCAGGGGUUUUGGGUUUGGGUUGGCAAUACCUGAUUUUGAUGACUAGCUCUCUCAAGUGCAAAGACUUCCCAUGAGUGAUGCAGGGCCAACAGCAGCCCUGCGUCUGUAGAGUGCCUUCAAAACUCAGCUGUUCCAGCCGGUGCCAACCUGUGAAAGCUCCACAGAAUCCCAUUAUCUACUACUCCAAAAACUUCUUAACAGUUUCCUUGCAGUAAUCACACCGAGCAAGCCAGGACAAAAGGGCCUAUUGUUAGUGGAAUUUAUUUCUUCUUUCCAUCUGAGCCUUUUAACUGUUAUUUCCAUGUCUUGCAAGUUCUGGCUUUAUUUACUUCAAAUUUACAAGAAUUUAGCCUUUUGGGAUUUUGGGGGGAAGGGCUUUUUUUCUUGUUGUUGUUUGUUCUAUUUCCCUUUGAUUUUGUCGUGGGAUGUGCCUCCAGCCAGCAAAGAAGGAAAUCUUAUCGUUGUGAUGUACCAAGAAAAUUCUAACAACUGUCAUUUUAAUUGAGGCCAUGCAUUGAAGAGAUGUCUAUCCGUUUUGAGAGUUUUAAUACAAAUGCUGUUUUUUAGAAAACAACUUUGUGCAUUGUUAUGUAUCACAUGAAACACUGACUUUCACACAGGCUCUUCAUCCAGAUUUAUAUCUCAGUAGCAGUGAAAGGUGGAGGGGUCAGUUGAGCUAAGAGCAGUGGUUACAAAAAGGCAAACCACAAGAUUGCUGUUUUACCUAAUGCUGAGUCCUUUUUGAUGCAGGGUUUUGCUUGUGUUCAGGUCCUGCCCAGUGUGAUGCCAGGCUGUGGGAUGAAAGCUGUGCUCAGAGGCAGCUUUAGGCCCUUUUCCCCUCCAGGAAGCAGCAUGGUUUAUUGGGGUGAAGUUCUAAAGGUCAAUUAUUUAUGAAAUUUAAUUUUUCAGUCUCAUUGUAUUAUCACUUUAAAACUAUAAACCAGAAUUUGUUGUUUCCUGGUUUGCAGAGGGGCUGGGGUGGGAGGAGAGCUGUGCCUCCCACCAGCUGGAAGAUCCAAGGGGUUUGUUUGCCUGUUUCCUUCCUCUCUUUGCCCCUUCUUGAAAGGUGUCUGCACUCAAAACCUGCAACUCUUUUCCCUUCUCCCUCUAUCCCAAGAAGUCUUGAAAUUGUCUGACAUCUGAAAAACAAAGGUUGAGCAAUGAUGUGUAAAGGGGUUUUUAAUCAGGGCACCUGAAAAGUGUCUGCCACGAUUCCUCUGUGAAUCUGGUAAAUUCUCCUGUUUUCAGCAGGAAUACUUUGUGUCUCAGCACAAGGAGCAGCGCUAGUGUCGGUGUGAUGCUGCCUUUUGAAAUCCCACCGACUGAAAUGAAAAUUGCCAUUUGUCCCGUACUCAGAAUUGGAUACUUUGUGUAGCAACAUCAGGUAUCUACUGGAAAUUUGUAAAAGGUUGUGUACUGCGGUCGUGUUUCUCCUCCUGAGCUCAGGCGUGUCCUUCCAGCCAGGACCUGUGGCGCAGCCCCUGGGGCUGUUCAGUCUCUGGUACAACCACAGUGAAAAACAGAGGGGGCUGCAGGAGGCAGCCCCAGUGCUGGUCCCUCCCUGCCUGCACACGUUAAUUCACCCCAAAACUGAGAGCAUCGCUGCAGCUCACCUUGCAGGAAUUCCUAAAUACUCAUUAGAAGCCAGAGGACUCCCAUGCUGGAAGACAGGGCAAUAUCACUGGCAGAAGAGGUUUCUUCUCACCCAAGUACUGCAUUGAAAGCUGGGGAAGCUUGACUGCUGCCACACCUGCAGCUUCCAGACUGCAUGUCCGAUGUUAAAAAAAUAAAUGUACAUCUCAGUUACUGCCGUGGUUCAAUUUUGCCUUAAAUUCAAUGGGAAUGUACAGUUUUCUGCAGCCACCAGGCCUUGCUCUAGAUCAGUGCACUGACAGCUUGAUGUGGUUGAUAAAAGCAGGUUUUUAUUUAUUGUGCCCUCCCAGGUCCCUCACGUUCCCCAGGCCCUCUUUCCCCACUGCCUGGGCUGUGCUUGAGGAAUAAAGCACAAGUGGGUGUUGGUAGCACACAGCAUCCAGCUGUGCUCAGCCAGCUGUGUUGUGCUGGGCCUUCCUGAGGCACGUUCUAGUUUUGGCCAAAAAGGUGUAUUUGUCAAACAGUGAAGCAUUUAAGCAGCUGUGGCACUGUCUGGUCAGGGUUUUGAAUGUGUUUAGGCAUUCCAUGUUCUCUGUGACUGGCAAGGACAGUACAAAGUGUAGAGCUCAGUAGUCUGAUCUUCCAAAUAUUCUGAAGUGUUCUGGUGCUUGUUAAACAUAGGCCUUGUCUAUAAAAAGCCUGAAAAAACUCAUCCUGCUUUAACUUGACUGAUUGAUGAAAGCUAUAUUAGCUUGGACACUUGAGGGAAAUGUUGUAUCAAUAUAAAGGUACUCUUUAUUCCUUUUCCCUGUGGGAAUAUGUUACACCCGUGUCAAUACAGAGGUGGUAUAUCACUCUUUUCACAGUGAGAAUUGCAAAUAUUUACUUGUUUUGGAAGAAAAAUUACAUUCCCAGCCAAAAUACUUCCUGACAUUGCAGAAAUUGUGUAAACAAGGCCUUGGUUUAAGGCCAGUCUUGUGACCACAUAUUUUGCUGUACAUAAUGAUUGUAUUUUGAAAAAUCCGAGCUUGUUCUGUCGCAAGAAAGCGUGUCUGGCAUCCCGGUGUCCCUGGUGUAACCGUGCUGUGUGCUCAGCCCCAGGCCCAGAGCAAGUGUGCUUCUGCUCAGCAUGAUGCUCAGGAUUUGUUGAUGUGAUGGUGCUGGAGCUGAUGUGGAACUCUGUGGGAUCCUGGUGGUUCUGCUUCUCUCAAAAGAAUGUACGGCAAGUUGUUUGCAAAGGGCAUUUUAAAUAAAGGGCAGCUGGCUCUUUAUGACUUCCUCACUUGGGUGCUCAUUGUGUGCAGGUGUUCUUCGGGGUCAGAUUUCCUCAAGGAGUGACAAAAUGC